GGGACCGUAGCUCAGAGGAUAGAGCAUUAGAUUCCUAAUCUGAGGGUCGUGCGUUCGAAUCGCACCGGUCCCAC
rnacentral:tRNA from 1 species